rnacentral:rRNA from 1 species
CCUACGGGUGGCAGCAGUGAGGAAUAUUGGUCAAUGGCCGUAAGGCUGAACCAGCCAAGUCGCGUGAAGGAAGAAGGAUCUAUGGUUUGUAAACUUCUUUUGUCAAGGGACAAAAUCAGGCUCGAGAGCCUGACCGAGGGUACUUGAAGAAAAAGCAUCGGCUAACUCCGUGCCAGCAGCCGCGGUAAUACGGAGGAUGCGAGCGUUAUCCGGAUUUAUUGGGUUUAAAGGGAGCGUAGAUGGGUUGUUAAGUCAGUUGUGAAAGUUUGCGGCUCAACCGUAAAAUUGCAAUUGAUACUGGCAGCCUUGAGUGCAGUUGAGGUAGGCGGAAUUCGUGGUGUAGCGGUGAAAUGCUUAGAUAUCACGAAGAACUCCGAUUGCGAAGGCAGCUUACUAAACUGCCACUGACAUUGAUGCUCGAAAGUGUGGGUAUCAAACAGGAUUAGAUACCCGAGUAGUC